rnacentral:misc_RNA from 1 species
GAUGAAGAACGUAGCGAAAUGCGAUACGUAAUGUGAAUUGCAGAAUUCAGUGAAUCAUCGAAUCUUUGAACGCACAUUGCGCCUGCCAGCACUCUGGCAGGCAUGCCUGUUCGAGCGUCAUUUCAACCAUCAAGCCCUAGGCUUGCGUUGGAGCCCUGCGGCAGCCGCAGGCCCCUAAAAGCAGUGGCGGGCUCGCUAUCACACCGAGUGCAGUAGAUUACUCUUCGCUCAGGGCGUGUGGCGGGUUCCAGCCGUGAAACCCCCCAAUUUUCAAGGUUGACCUCGGAUCAGGUAGGAAUACCCGCUGAACUUAAGCAUAUCAAUAAGCGGAGGA